GACGAACGCUGGCGGCGUGCUUAACACAUGCAAGUCGAACGGAAAGGCCCUGCUUUUGUGGGGUGCUCGAGUGGCGAACGGGUGAGUAACACGUGAGUAACCUGCCCUUGACUUUGGGAUAACUGCAGGAAACUGGGGCUAAUACCGGAUAGGAGCUCCUGCUGCAUGGUGGGGGUUGGAAAGUUUCGGCGGUUGGGGAUGGACUCGCGGCUUAUCAGCUUGUUGGUGGGGUAGUGGCUUACCAAGGCUUUGACGGGUAGCCGGCCUGAGAGGGUGACCGGCCACAUUGGGACUGAGAUACGGCCCAGACUCCUACGGGAGGCAGCAGUGGGGAAUAUUGCACAAUGGGCGGAAGCCUGAUGCAGCAACGCCGCGUGCGGGAUGACGGCCUUCGGGUUGUAAACCGCUUUAGCCUGUGACGAAGCGUGAGUGACGGUAAUGGGUAAAGAAGCACCGGCUAACUACGUG
rnacentral:rRNA from 1 species